rnacentral:lncRNA from 1 species
UUGGGGAGUGGAUGUAGGUAUGGGGCUAUACCAAACCACUAUAAAUAAUUUUAUGUUUAUCUUAUGCCUUUUGCUCUCUUACUUUGCAUGCCUUGUAUUAUUUUAAUUCUCAUAUAGUUUUACUUAUUUCACUGCUACAUAUUGUUUAUUCUUCAUAAACACUCAAAUAAGUAUAAUUUGAAGCAUAUAUUUAUUUAGAUUAUUAAUUUGAUUAAAAUUUUUAAAGAAUCUAAUUCAUUCCUUUCUCUUGGAUUGCUACCUUUCUGAGCAAUAAGAGGAAUGAAGAGGGAAGAAUAGAGAAAAGAAGUGAGCGAGGGGGGGAAGAAAGGAAGGGAAAGGGAGAAAGGUAAGAUAAAGGGAGAAGAAAGAACAAUAAAGAAGGAAGAGAGGAAUGAAAUAAUAGUCAAGGAUAUAGAAGGGAAAAAGAAAGGGUCAAGGAUGGAAAGAGGAUUAAGAGAUAGAGAGUAUGAAGAGAAAGAGAACUGAAGGAGGAGAGGUAAAAAGGGAGAGGAGAGAUG